UACGAAAGGUGCAAGCGUUACUCGGAAUCACUGGGCGUAAAGCGCGCGUAGGCGGCUUUGCAAGUCGGGUGUGAAAUCCCCAGGCUUAACCUGGGAACUGCAUUCGAGACUGCAUUGCUAGAGUAUGGGAGAGGGAAGUGGAAUUUCCGGUGUAGCGGUGAAAUGCGUAGAUAUCGGAAGGAACAUCAGUGGCGAAAGCGACUUCCUGGACCAAUACUGACGCUCAUGUGCGAAAGCGUGGGGAGCAAACAGG
rnacentral:rRNA from 1 species